rnacentral:rRNA from 1 species
UGGGGAAUAUUGGACAAUGGGCGAAAGCCUGAUCCAGCGACGCCGCGUGAGUGAAGAAGGCCUUAGGGUUGUAAAGCUCUUUUAGUGGAGAAGAUAAUGACGGUAUCCACAGAAAAAGCCCCGGCUAACUUCGUGCCAGCAGCCGCGGUAAUACGAAGGGGGCUAGCGUUACUCGGAAUUAUUGGGCGUAAAGCGUGCGUAGGCGGUUAUGUAAGUUGGGAGUGAAAGCCCAGGGCUCAACCUUGGAAUUGCUUUCAAAACUACGUAACUUGAGUAUUGGAGAGGAUAGUGGAAUUCCUAGUGUAGAGGUGAAAUUCGUAGAUAUUAGGAGGAACACCAGAUGCGAAAGCGGCUAUCUGACCAAAUACUGACGCUGUUGCACGAAAGCGUGGGGAGCAAACA